GAAAAGAGAGAUCUGUAAAGUUUUGCUAACAACACCAAUGAUGACAGAAGUAAAAAAUUCUGAUGUCCUACCAUUUUUAUUUUUAUUUUUAUUUUUAUUUAUAUUCUUAUCUAUCUAUUUAUUAUAUUCUUUAUUUAAAA
rnacentral:ribozyme from 1 species